GCGAUAACGAAAGAGAGCAACUUCACAUCCACAAGUGUGGUCUGAGUCCUCUUAUCAUCACUCUGCAGCUGAUCUGUGGAAGGCUCAGUCCAAAGCACGGCUGUUUUCACGACUAAAAUGUUCCCCAUCCCUGAGUAAACACUGACUGUAUCCGCUCUCCCCCCUGGCUCCUGGCUCCCUCAUUGAUCGGCCUGGACAAUUUAUUAGCCAUUGUGACAGUUUCCUGUGCAGCCAGGGUCGACAGGGGAAACGGAGAGGUAUGCCGAUAAAGUACUCAGAAACAUGGU